AUGAGAGAAAAAAGUAUUUUUACUGAUAGAGAUUUUAGCUCCUCCCAAUUCUUGCUUAAAUUAUCCAACUCUUGGGUUAUAAAUUUGCUUUUUAGUGACAGCAUAGCUGCAGCCUGCAGGGUCUCUGAAGAAUGGGUCUUCAUCAGAGGACAUGUCUCCUGGCAAGGGGGCAUUUGCUGCCUGCUGCCCAGCUCUGAGCAACAGCCCGGAGCCCUGCUGGCUGCUCUCCGCACCCUGAAGCCGGCUCUGAGUUCGACCAAUGCUCAGCCUUCGCUGGUGCGGCCAGGGCCCUCAUCUGCUGCUUCCAUUUCAGAUCUCUUCCUAUUUGGAAUUUCACAGCGCUGUGGUCAGCCUGAGCAAAUAAGAAUAUUGAUAGGCUUGAAAGGCAAGAACCUCUUCAGAGAAUGAACUUCAUUAGUCACUAACCCAAGAUCCCAUCAGCUGAGACAGAAUUUCCAGAGCAAAGGGAAGUGAGAGGUUCCCCCUGCCAUGCAACUUUGCAUCAUUCUAGAAAACAACUUUCAUUUAAAUUCAAACU
rnacentral:lncRNA from 1 species